UAUAUAUAUAUAUAUAUAAACCAAAUAGUAAGACUUAUUCAGAAGGAUAACCCGGAGCAUACUACUUCCACAAACCUGAUUUGAUUGUCACUAACUUUCAAAUUGAAAGGGAUCUACUACAACUGCUCAUGAAUUUCGAGAUUUUACAGCUAAUAGAGGAACAAAUUUUAUCUGCUUCCACUUAGCCAAACAGCAUGGAAAUAUGCUAUUGUAAUGAGUAGAAGAUAUUUGUAUCAUGCAACAGCUAAUUAUCAGUACACACAUUUCAAGAUGAGGAAAAGAACAGUAUAAGCUACAUUCAUUGAUGCAUUAUUUAUACAAAAAUGUAUAGUCAACCCAGUCAUCACUCCAUUUUUUUAUGAAGCCAGUUACAGUUACCAUGAAGGGAUGAAAUUUCAGAUAAUAUUCUGUUUAUUUCAUGAAAUGAGAAUAGGCCUACAUCAGAAAUUGAAAUGGUCAUCUUCAGUAUUUAAUGUUUCAUCUAAAAAUGAUAAUUAUAUUAAUACAUAUUUGAUGUACAAACAAAUGAAAACCAUUCAAACACUUUUUUUUUGUGAAGUAUAGAUGAUUAAACUUGUAAGUGUCUGAACAAUA